rnacentral:rRNA from 1 species
GGACGAAUGGUGUAACGACUUCCUCACUGUCUCCAACAUAGUUUCAGUGAAAUUGAAUUCUCCGUGAAGAUGCGGAGUACCCGCGGUUAGACGGAAAGACCCCGUGCACCUUUACUGCAGCUUCAGAGUGGCAUUAGGAAAGAACUGUGUAGCAUAGGUGGGAGGCUUUGAAGCGUUGGCGCCAGCUGACGUGGAGCCAUAGGUGAAAUACCACCCUGUUGUUUUCUGAUGUCUAACCUCGAUCCAUGAAACUGGAUCAGGGACCCUCUGUGGCGGGUAGUUUGACUGGGGCGGUCGCCUCCUAAAGAGUAACGGAGGCGCGCGAUGGUAGGCUCAGGACGGUUGGAAACCGUCUGCGAGAGUGCAAUGGCAUAAGCCUGCCUGACUGCGAGACUGACGAGUCGAGCAGAGACGAAAGUCGGUCAUAGUGAUCCGGUGGUCCCGAGUGGAAGGGCCAUCGCUCAACGGAUAAAAGGUAC